rnacentral:rRNA from 1 species
UCAGUUUGAUUCUAGCUGAAAACUUAGCUACCUUAAACCCAUAUACAUGUAAGUCUAUGCUUUCCCGCAACUUAUAAUAACCCUCAAAGGAUAAUAACUAUAUUAGACAUUUCCUAUGUAGUAAUGCGCCACAGUAAAUAAUCCUAAUUUAUCUGCAAAAGCAGGAAUCGGGUAUUAAGACAAGGGUUGGCAAUAUUCGUGCCAGCUGCCGCGGUUAGACGAUAAACUCAAGCUAACUAAAUGUGACUAAUUACUAGGUGAUUUAAAAAGUGUUUAAGGUAUAAUUUAUAUAGCCCGAGAUUCACACACACCUUUAUUAUAAAACCAUAGACUAAAACACGGAUUAGAUACCCGUCUAUUUAUGGAGUAAACAAAGUCGAAUAAUACGAACCACAGUUUAAAACUUAAAGAUUUUGGCGGUGUCUUAUCAACCCAGGGGAACCUGUCUCAUAACUCGAUAACCCACGAAUUCCUCACCCUCUCUAGAUUCUAACAGCCUGUGUACUGCCGUCGUAAGCACACCCCUAAAAGAAAGAAGUGUGCAGACAUGAUUAAACUCAUAUACGUCAGGUCAAAGUGCAGCCCAUGGGAGGGAGAUGAUGGGUUACACCCUAAACAAAGAUACGGAAUACAGUACUAAAAGCUAUAUAAAGGAGGACUUGGUUGUAACGUUUCUUCAAAACUAAAGUGAAUAUGAAUCUAAGACAUGCACACAUCGCCCGUCACUCUCGCCUAAAGGCGGGAUAAGUCGUAACAAAGUAGGUGUAACGGAAGUUGUCCCUGU